rnacentral:rRNA from 1 species
UACGUAGGGCGCAAGCGUUUGUCCGGAAUUAUUGGGCGUAAAGAGCUCGUAGGCGGCUUGUCACGUCGGUUGUGAAAGCCCGGGGCUUAACCCCGGGUCUGCAGUCGAUACGGGCAGGCGUAGAGUGUGGUAGGGGGAGAUCGGGAAUUCCUGGUGUAGCGGUGAAAUGCGCAGAUAUCAGGAGGAACACCGGUGGCGAAGGCGGAUCUCUGGGCCAUUACUGACGCUGAGGAGCGAAAGCGUGGGGAGCGAACAGG